rnacentral:rRNA from 1 species
CUCAAGAACGAACGCUGGCGGCAUGCCUAACACAUGCAAGUCGAACGAAGUCUUCGGACUUAGUGGCGCACGGGUGCGUAACGCGUGGGAAUCUGCCCUUGGGUGCGGAAUAACUUCUCGAAAGGGAUGCUAAUACCGCAUAAUGUCGUAAGACCAAAGAUUUAUCGCCCAAGGAUGAGCCCGCGUAAGAUUAGCUAGUUGGUGGGGUAAAAGCCUACCAAGGCGACGAUCUUUAGCUGGUCUGAGAGGAUGAUCAGCCACACUGGGACUGAGACACGGCCCAGACUCCUACGGGAGGCAGCAGUGGGAAUAUUGGACAAUGGGCGAAAGCCUGAUCCAGCAAUGCCGCGUGAGUGAUGAAGGCCCUAGGGUUGUAAAGCUCUUUACCAGGGAUGAUAAUGACAGUACCUGGAGAAUAAGCUCCGGCUAACUCCGUG